rnacentral:rRNA from 1 species
GACGAACGCUGGCGGCGUGCCUAAUACAUGCAAGUAGAACGCUGAAGGAGGAGCUUGCUUCUCUGGAUGAGUUGCGAACGGGUGAGUAACGCGUAGGUAACCUGCCUGGUAGCGGGGGAUAACUAUUGGAAACGAUAGCUAAUACCGCAUAAGAGUAGAUGUUGCAUGACAUUUGCUUAAAAGGUGCAAUUGCAUCACUACCAGAUGGACCUGCGUUGUAUUAGCUAGUUGGUGGGGUAACGGCUCACCAAGGCGACGAUACAUAGCCGGCCUGAGAGGGGGGUCGGCCACACUGGGACUGAGACCCGGCCCAGACCUCUUCGGGGAGCAGCAAUAGGGAAUCUUCGGCAAUAGACGGAAGGCUGACCGCGCAACGCCGCGGGAGGGAAGAAGGGUUUCGGGUCGGAAAGGUCGGUUGUAAGGGAAGAACGAGUGUGAGAGUGGAAAGUUCACGCUGUGACGGUACCUGACCAGAAAGCGACGGCUAACUACGUG